rnacentral:rRNA from 1 species
AAAGCGCGCGUAGGCGGCUAAUUAAGUCAAAUGUGAAAUCCCCGAGCUUAACUUGGGAAUUGCAUUCGAUACUGGUUAGCUAGAGUGUGGGAGAGGAUGGUAGAAUUCCAGGUGUAGCGGUGAAAUGCGUAGAGAUCUGGAGGAAUACCGAUGGCGAAGGCAGCCAUCUGGCCUAACACUGACGCUGAGGUGCGAAAGCAUGGGGAGCAAACAGGAUUAGAUACCCCAGU